GAUGAACGCUGGCGGCGUGCCUAAUACAUGCAAGUCGAGCGAACAGACGAGGAGCUUGCUCCUCUGACGUUAGCGGCGGACGGGUGAGUAACACGUGGAUAACCUACCUAUAAGACUGGGAUAACUUCGGGAAACCGGAGCUAAUACCGGAUAAUAUAUUGAACCGCAUGGUUCAAUAGUGAAAGACGGUUUUGCUGUCACUUAUAGAUGGAUCCGCGCCGCAUUAGCUAGUUGGUAAGGUAACGGCUUACCAAGGCAACGAUGCGUAGCCGACCUGAGAGGGUGAUCGGCCACACUGGAACUGAGACACGGUCCAGCCUCCUACGGGAGGCAGCAGUAGGGAAUCUUCCUCAAUGGGCGAAAGCCUGACGGAGCAACGCCGCGUGAGUGAUGAAGGUCUUCGGAUCUUAAAACUCUGUUAUUAGGGAAGAACAAAUGUGUAAGUAACUAUGCACGUCUUGACGGUACCUAAUCAGAAAGCCACGGCUAACUACGUG
rnacentral:rRNA from 1 species